rnacentral:rRNA from 1 species
AGAAUCAACGCUGGCGGCGUGCCUAACACAUGCAAGUCGAACGAGAAAGGGGAGCAAUCCCUGAGUAAAGUGGCGCACGGGUGAGUAACACGUGACUAACCUACCCUGGAGUGGGGGAUAACUGAGGGAACCUUAGCUAAUACCGCAUAACACCUACGGGUCAAAGGAGCAAUUCGCUUUGGGAGGGGGUCGCGGCCGAUUAGUUAGUUGGCGGGGUAAUGGCCCACCAAGACAGUGAUCGGUAUCCGGCCUGAGAGGGCGCACGGACACACUGGAACUGAAACACGGUCCAGACUCCUACGGGAGGCAGCAGUGGGGAAUUUUGCGCAAUGGGGAAACCCUGACGCAGCAACGCCGCGUGGAGGAUGAAGUACUUCGGUACGUAAACUCCUUUCGAUCGGGACGAUAAUGACGGUACCGGAAGAAGAAGCCCCGGCUAACUUCGCGCCAGCAGCCGC